UGGAGCUCAAGUUCUCCAUGAUCAAGCCUUGAUUUCUUGCAAGUGUCUUCAUGAAAAAUGAUCCUCACACCAUAGGCAGUAGAUAGGCAGCAAGAAAUGAAAGUUUUUGUGGAGUUUUGAAGAAUUUCCAAAGUGUUAGCAAAGACUCAGGGAAAGGGAAGGAAACACUGAGUCAAGGCCAGGAGACAAUUAUCAGAGGUAGAUAGACGGACAGGGCAGCAGACUAGGCUGCUAGU